GCCACAGGACUCAGAAGGUCCCGCCCAGAGGGUUAUAAACAGCAGACAAUCGCUGGGUGCCGGAGGACUCGGCUGGCACUGCCUGCCAGGUGCGCAGAGGAUCCCUCGGAUGUCAUCCUCAUAAGUGGAUUCUCACCUGUGCUGGGGUGAGAAUUUUAGGGAUGCAGCAGCUUGGGUCACUCUAGCGCCCAAUAGCCACCCCAAUAAACUCAUUGGCUCACCACACAAGACUCGGGCGGAGUCCUUGGUAUGCGGUCUGUGCCCCAUCUGGACUGAGUAGAUGUUAUCCCCACCUCUCCAUGAGAAGGAACGGCAGCAGGACGCUCACAGGACACCCCCAGAAGCCACCAUGAGGAGGAGAGGUUUGUUCCCUCAUCUGCUCCCCACCAUGUGCUUUCCCAACAUGAUGUCAUGUCUCAGUGCGGGCCAUAAUGCAACGGAGCCAACUGACCAUAGGCUGGAGUCCCUGAGAUCAUGGGUCAAAGUAAAUCUCUCCUCAUUACAAGUUGACUGUCCUGCCGGGUGGUGGUGGCGCAUGCCUUUAAUCCCAGCACUCGGGAGGCAGAGGCUGCUGGAUCUCUGUGAGUUCGAGACCAGCCUGGUCUACAAGAGCUAGUUCCAGGACAGUCUCCAAAGCUACAGAGAAACCCUGUCUUGGGAAAGAGAGAGAGAGAGAGAGAGAGAGAGAGAGAGAGAGA